UUGCGGCGGGUUAAGGAGGCAUAGGAGGGUCUUUGAUGAUAUGAAGUGAGAGGUAGUGUGGAUCAGUUGUGGAAGAGGGUUCAGGGAGUUUUCUUUCUCUGUCAUCUAUUCAAAUAGGGGGAGAUUGGCUACUCUCACC